UUACCAGGUCUUGACAUCCCGAUGCUAUUUCUAGAGAUAGAAAGUUACUUCGGUACAUCGGUGACAGGUGGUGCAUGGUUGUCGUCAGCUCGUGUCGUGAGAUGUUGGGUUAAGUCCCGCAACGAGCGCAACCCCUAUUGUUAGUUGCCAUCAUUCAGUUGGGCACUCUAGCGAGACUGCCGGUAAUAAACCGGAGGAAGGUGGGGAUGACGUCAAAUCAUCAUGCCCCUUAUGACCUGGGCUACACACGUGCUACAAUGGUUGGUACAACGAGUUGCGAGUCGGUGACGGCGAGCUAAUCUCUUAAAGCCAAUCUCAGUUCGGAUUGUAGGCUGCAACUCGCCUACAUGAAGUCGGAAUCGCUAGUAAUCGCGGAUCAGCAUGUCGCGGUGAAUACGUUCCCGGGUCUU
rnacentral:rRNA from 1 species